CUGACGUUAGCGGCGGACGGGUGAGUAACACGUGGGUAACCUACCUAUAAGACUGGGAUAACUCCGGGAAACCGGGGCUAAUACCGGAUAAUACAUGAAACCGCAUGGUUUCAUGAUGAAAGACGGUUUUGCUGUCACUUAUAGAUGGACCCGCGGCGUAUUAGCUAGUUGGUAAGGUAACGGCUUACCAAGGCAACGAUACGUAGCCGACCUGAGAGGGUGAUCGGCCACACUGGAACUGAGACACGGUCCAGACUCCUACGGGAGGCAGCAGCC
rnacentral:rRNA from 1 species